GGCUGCAGUAGUUGUGGCAUGCAGGCUCAGUAGUUGUGGCUCUAGAGUGCAGGCUCAUUAGUUGUGGUGCACGGGCUUAGCUGCUCCAUGGUAUGUGGGAUCUUCCUGGACCAGGGCUCAAACCCGUGUCCCCUGCAUUGGCAGGCAGAUUCUUAACUACUGCACUGCCAUGGAAGUCCCUAUAUUAUUUUUUAUAUUGAGUGUUUUACAGAAUUGUUGUUCUUUGUAUUACCAAAUGUGUGAUUGAGCCUCUGAUAAAAUGAUGACAUAUAGUUCCAUAUAAGAUCAGUGAUGGUAAUAGUAACUCUAGAUAUGGGAAGAAGCAACAAGAGGGAAUAUUUUCGUGGACCAUAAAAGACUAGUAAGACAGGUGGUCCAGAGAUUUUUGGCUACUGUGAAUAAGGCCUAGUCUAGUAAUAGCACAUUGAGUGGCCUAUCAGUGAAAUCUUUGCCCGACCUGGGAAUGAUCAUUCCUAGCACCAUGGGACGAAGUGGUCAUGAAGUGCCCCCGAAACCAUGGUUGAAUUUAUGACUCUGAAGGGGCCCUGCCAAAUGAAGACUGUCACUUGCCGUAUGCUUAUGCAAGGAUUAGGUCAAUGGCCACUGCAGCCACUGACCUUAACAUACCCUGAAAGGAGUUCAGGGUGGAGAUCAGGAAUGAGGCACUCUGUGCUCUGGGAAAAACUGGUAGAACAGGCCUGCAGAUCGUUAGAUACUUUCAAGAGAAGACUUUAUGAGCCCAAAUUCUUCCAUCUUCUCAUAUCUAGAAAAGCUCUAAAAUCAUUAACAGUGACAUCUGCUUUGGCCAUUAAAGAGAGAAGUGCAACUGAAAGUCAAAAUGGAGUAGCUGUGAUUCAGACAUCCAGGGUAAUACUAGGUGGCAUUAUGGGCAUGAUUUCAGACAAGUCCUUGUAUUGCUAAGAACUUGAGUUUUCUGAGCUGUGUCAGACUUGGGAUGCCACCAGCCAUUCGCAAAAAAAUGUCUGCUGGCAGCUGGUAGCUGCAACCUUAUGGUUUCAAGGUAUCCUCUUGUAACUACUAAAUUUUUAGAAAAUGAAAUUGUUUUAUAUCAGAUAGUAGUAGAAAAAAGAGAUGUGUAGUGGCCAAUAGCUCCUGUUAUGUACAUAUUAAUACCAUAUCUGAAGUUAAAACCUACUUAGAUUAGAUAAGAAUAAACAACUGGCUACCUGGUUACAAGUCUCUCCAAAGUGCGAGGUCCAGACUGGGUUUCCGGCUUACUCUUCUGAAUUCCUCAGGGAAUGAGAUUUAUUUUGUCUCUUAAAAUUCCAGUUGUCACUCGUCCAAAUACUUCUUUUUUAAAUUAAUUAAUUAAUUAACUUAUUUAUUUUUGGCUGCGUUGGGUCUUGGUUGCUGCGUGCGGGCUUUCUCUAGUUGCAGCGAGUGGGAGCUAUUCUUUGUUGUGGCGUGCAGGCUUCUCAUUGCAGUGGCUUCUCUUGUUGUGGAGCACAGGCUCUAGGUGCAUGGGCUUCAAUAGUUGUGGCACGUGGGCUCAGUAGUUGUGGCUCAUGGGCUCUAGAGCACAGGCUCAUUAGUUGUGACGCACGGGCUUAGUUGCUCUGCGGCAUGUGGGACCUUCCUGAACCAGGGCUUGAACCCACAUCCCCUGCGUUGGCAGGCAGAUUCUUAACCACUGCACCACCAGGGAAGUCCCCAACUACUUCUAAUUGGGUCUAUUACACCAAAAUGGCGGACCAAGGGAUUGAGAUUUUAAUUUUUUUUUUAAUUUAUUUUUGGCUGUUUUGGGUCUUUGUUGCUGCGCGUGGGCUUUCUCUAGUUGUGACGAGCAGGGGCUACUUUUCGUUGCGGUGUGCAGGCUUCUUAGUGCGGUGGCUUCUCUUGUUGCGGAGCACGGGCUCUAGGUGCGUGGGCUUCAGUAGUUGCAGCACUCAGGCUCAGUAGUUGUGGCAUGCAGGCCCUAGGGGAUUGAGAUUUUAAUCAUACAAGACUCAGAUCCAGGACUUGGAACUCAGGAAUAUUUCCAACUCGGUGUCUAUUUUCCAAAUUGAGGCGGGACUAGUCCCCCUUUUAGCAGGGAGUGGCCAGAGCUGUUGUACCCCAGUUCCCUGAAUUGAAACUGAGCAGGACUCUGUUGGCUCUGGAGUACAAAUCCUUUCUGUGUCCCCUAUUUCUUGUUUGUAGGAAUAGGCUUCAUUCAGCCUCCUUGACCUUCCCUGAGUUCCAAAGAGCAGAUUCAAACAGUUGCUAAUCAGGGAAUGGUGGGGAUAUAUAGAAACAGGGGAGGAACAGUCAAGUGAUGGUAUGGCCUUGGGGCGGGGUCCUGGUUCCUCCUCAAGGAGUAUGCAUAACAAUCUCUCUGAGUUCUUCUGCAGGAACUAAGGCCCCCACCGAGGUGAAGCAUGGUAACUUCAGGCUGAGCACAAGACUCUUGGAGCACCGCCCUGUUACCUCACUACCAACUGAUCAGAAAAAAGUCACAGACACUGCAGCUCUCACCCCAAAUUUUGCCUUCCUUUUCUGGGCCCGGCAAUGACCAUCCUGUUCAGCCUCCUGUUUGGCCCUUGUCUAUUUCAGCUGCUAACAAGGUUCAUCUCUGAUAGGGUCCAACAGUUUCAGGCUAAACUGUUGUUACUAUGAGGGUGAAUGCUGAUUUGGGGCACAGAAUACCUCGAUUUAAAUCAGGUGGAGAGAGUGGGACUUCCCUGGUGGCACAGUGCUUAAGAAUCCACCUGCCAAUGCAGGAGACACGGGUUUGAUCCCUGGUCCAGGAAGAUCCCACAUGCCGUGGAGCAGCUAAGCCUGUGUGCCACAACUACUGAGCCUGUGCUCUAGAGCCCGCGAGCCACAACUACUGAAGUCUGUGCACCCUAGAGCCUGCACGCCAUAACUACUGAGCCUGUGUCCUGAAACUACUGAAGCCCAUACAUCUAGAGCCCGUGUUCUGCAACAAGAGAAGCCACGGCAAUGAGAAGCCUGUGCACCGCAACAAACAGUAGCCCCCACUUGCCACAACUAGAGAAAGCCCGCAUGCAGCAACGAAGACCCAAUGCGGAUCAAUCAAUCAAUCAAUCAAUCAGGUGGAGAAAGACUUCUAUUCCACUAGGCAGGACUACACCCACUCUCAUCAGGAAGUAGUUACAGAAGAAAGAGACCUCUGCCCCAAUUCCCAAGAAGUAUCUUGAGUAUGAAGUCUCUCUGGGGGAGUUGUUAGGGGAACCACUGACUGAAACCACCCGCCCUAGCCAGGCACCAUAGUAACCACUUACAUGAGUUCUUUUACAACAGGAGGUCCUGGUAAGGAAUGCGGAACUAACAAGCUACCACCAACCAGAAGAAUUUGGGAAAGGUCAAAAGGAGAGAGGAGACACCAGUUCAUAUGUCCUACCAACCUCCCAGAAUCCUUCUCGCUGGAAUCCAUCCUGGCUGAGUGAUGCACACGCCACCAGGAAGGACGCUGAGUCAGAGUGAUUGGCCAGAGACAACCAGGAAACUAACCCUAUUACCAUAAAACCCGAGGCUGCGAGCCACAUAGCAGAGCAGUUCUCCUGGGUUCCCUUACCCUGCUGCUCUCCGCCCGGGCACCCCUUCCCGAUAAAGUCUCUUGCUUUGUCAGCACAUGUGUCUCCUUGGACAAUUCAUUUCCAAGUGUUAGACAAGAGCCUACUCUCAGACCCUGGAAGGGACCCCUUUCCUACAACAGGUUGAUUGGGAGAAGGAAGGAUUAACUACUUGCAUCAAGUAAGGAGAACACUGAGGAUCUUUCCCAAAGCAGUGUCUCCCCAAACACCAAAACUGGGGAAGAAGUGUUGGCUGGAGAGAAACUGGGUCCAGUUGGAGGGGCGCUAGCAUGCUGCCACUAAUGCGAGGUGGAAAGUUCUUCACUGGGGAGCUGACUGCUGUGCUGUGGGAACACAGUACGCGGGCCUCUCACUGUUGCGACCUCUCCCGUUGCGAAGCACAGGCUCCGGAUGCACAGGUUCAGCGGCCAUGGCUCACGGGCCCAGCCGCUGUGCGGUAUGUGGGAUCUUCCAGGACCGGGGCACGAACCCGUGUCCCCUGCAUCGGCAGGCAGACUCUCAGCCACUGUGCCACCAGGGAAGCCCUUUCUCGCUUUUAAAAUGUAUUUAUUUACUUGUAUCAGAGCCAGCCUCAUGGCUUUAUCUAUUGGGGUUCACACUGCUUUGGGGUUUGGCAGAGGCACUCUUCACUUUGCACUGGAAUCUCCCGGGUUUUUUUUGUUUGUUUUUGUUUUUUUCUUUAAGAUGUUUUAGGACUUUAAUGUCCUUCACACGGUCAACAUAAAACACUGACAAUGGAUGAACAAUAGGGGAAAAGACUCUUCAGCAAAAAUCUUCCCGAACUCACGGCAUCACUGGUCAAACACCAGAAAGAGAACAGUCACGUGAAGAAACAGUAAGGGAAUUUAACACAGAUUUUUAGUUUAACAGCAUAACUGAAAAACAAAACCAACCAACCAACCAACUAACCGUUCUUCUACCCACUGAAAGGAAAGUAAAAGUGAAUCAGGGAGCUUCCAAAUCUUGUGAAGCAGCUUAAAAAGGGAGAGGGGAGGGGGAAGGGGAGGCACACAACUGUUGAGAACGUAACACUCUAAUGCACAAGGUCAAGGAUCCUAACAAAUUCUCAAAGUCUCAACAUAUACCAACAAGAACCGUAUUAUUAGAAAUAUAAAGGCACAGAGAUAUAAAUGCA